GGAUCUGUAGCUCAAUCGGUAGAGCGGUCGCUUGAAGAGCCUCGCGUAGUUGGUUCAAUUCCAACCAGAUCCACCA
rnacentral:tRNA from 1 species